rnacentral:rRNA from 1 species
GACGAACGCUGGCGGCGUGCCUAAUACAUGCAAGUAGAACGCUGAAGCUUGGUGCUUGCACCGAGCGGAUGAGUUGCGAAUGGGUGAGUAACGCGUAGGUAACCUGCCUGGUAGCGGGGGAUAACUAUUGGAAACGAUAGCUAAUACCGCAUGAUAUUGAUUAUUGCAUGAUAGUCAAUUAAAAGGUGCAAUUGCAUCACUACCAGAUGGACCUGCGUUGUAUUAGCUAGUUGGUGAGGUAACGGCUCACCAAGGCAACGAUACAUAGCCGACCUGAGAGGGUGAUCGGCCACACUGGGACUGAGACACGGCCCAGACUCCUACGGGAGGCAGCAGUAGGGAAUCUUCGGCAAUGGACGGAAGUCUGACCGAGCAACGCCGCGUGAGUGAAGAAGGUUUUCGGAUCGUAAAGCUCUGUUGUAAGAGAAGAACGAGUGUGAGAGUGGAAAGUUCACACUGUGACGGUAUCUUACCAGAAAGGGACGGCUAACUACGUGCCAGCAGCCGCGGUAAUACGUAGGUCCCGAGCGUUGUCCGGAUUUAUUGGGCGUAAAGCGAGCGCAGGCGGUUAGAUAAGUCUGAAGUUAAAGGCUGUGGCUUAACCAUAGUACGCUUUGGAAACUGUUUAACUUGAGUGCAAGAGGGGAGAGUGGAAUUCCAUGUGUAGCGGUGAAAUGCGUAGAUAUAUGGAGGAACACCGGUGGCGAAAGCGGCUCUCUGGCUUGUAACUGACGCUGAGGCUCGAAAGCGUGGGGAGCAAACAGG